rnacentral:misc_RNA from 1 species
UCAAAAAUAGUAAAAACUUGAACUUAGCGACUUUUAUUUUAUCAGCGUUUAUCGUCGUCGUGUUAUCAACAAGACAGUAGUAUACCUACUCUCUUAUAUACAGGGGAUUAUGAACUUUAGUACAAUCACUGAAGGUUUUCAGCUCCGUUUUCAUUGAAACUUCAUCGAUUUUCUUGAAAAUUGGUCACUCAUGGCUAAAGAUCAAAAGCUCCAUGGUCUGUGAUGGUGCGACCUCCCCGCGUUAUUCAACAGCAGCGACAAGAAGUGAAGGCAAAGGCAAAACCACGAUUCUCCGAUGGAAGAAUCGGCACCACCGCCUCGCCACGGCAGGCAAUGUUUUGAGGACGUACGUUGACCCCGAGAUUCUGCACCGUGAUCGCGAUGCCUCAUGCCUCAUUCAACGAGGCCGGUUUUACGUAAAGGCUGACUCUGAGAAAGGUGGUGUGGGUUUAGGCUUUUAUUUUUUUUUGUAACUUGUAAUAAAAAAAUAUGAAAAAAAUAUUUUUAUGAAACGCUUUUCU